rnacentral:rRNA from 1 species
UACGGAGGGGGCUAGCGUUGUUCGGAAUUACUGGGCGUAAAGGGCGCGUAGGCGGCCACCGCAAGUCGACUGUGAAAUCUCCGGGCUUAACCCGGAAAGGUCAGCCGAUACUGCGGGGCUAGAGUGCAGAAGGGGCAACUGGAAUUCUCGGUGUAGCGGUGAAAUGCGUAGAUAUCGAGAGGAACACCUGCGGCGAAGGCGGGUUGCUGGGCUGACACUGACGCUGAUGCGCGAAAGCUAGGGGAGCGAACGGG